GGAUGUGAGGGCGAUCUGGCUAUGACAUCUGUCACCCCAUUGAUCACCAGGGUUGAUUCAGCUGAUCUGGCUGGCUAGGCGAUGUCCCCUUCCUCCCUCACCGCUCCAUGUGCAUCCCUCUCGAAGCUGUGCGCUCGGUUGAAGAGGACAACCGUCCCUGAUAGAGGACCAGUCUUCGGUCAAGGGUAUACGAGUAGUUGCGCUCCCCUGCUAGAACCUACAGACUAGCUCAGAGCAUGUCAGGCAUCAAACAACCAACAUUUUAAAAAUACUUGCUUUUAAUAAGC
rnacentral:snRNA from 1 species